rnacentral:rRNA from 1 species
GAUGAACGCUAGCGGCAGGCUUAAUACAUGCAAGUCAAGGGGGUAGCAAUAUCACCGGCGAACGGGUGCGUAACGCGUACACAACAUGCCUUUAACAGGGGGAUAGCAUUGGGAAACUGGUGGUAAUACCCCAUAACAUUGCGAUUUGGCAUCAGAUUGCAAUUAAAGUUCCGGCGGUUAAAGAUUGGUGUGCGUCUGAUUAGGUAGUUGGUGGGGUAACGGCCUACCAAGCCAACGAUCAGUAGGGGGUGUGAGAGCAUGACCCCCCACAUGGGUACUGAGACACGGACCCAACUCCUACGGGAGGCAGCAGUAAGGAAUAUUGGACAAUGGACGGAAGUCUGAUCCAGCCAUGCCGCGUGAAGGACGAAGGCGCUCAGCGUUGUAAACUUCUUUUGGACGGGGACAAACCACUCGAUGCGUCGGGUGCUGAGGGUACCGUCAGAAUAAGCACCGGCUAACUCCGUG